AUUGAACGCUGGCGGCAGGCUUAACACAUGCAAGUCGAGCGGUAGCACAGGGGAGCUUGCUCCCUGGGUGACGAGCGGCGGACGGGUGAGUAAUGUCUGGGAAACUGCCUGAUGGAGGGGGAUAACUACUGGAAACGGUCGCUAAUACCGCAUAACGUCGCAAGACCAAAGAGGGGGACCUUCGGGCCUCUUGCCAUCAGAUGUGCCCCGAUGGGAUUAGCUAGUAGGUGGGGUAAUGGCUCACCUAGGCGACGAUCCCUAGCUGGUCUGAGAGGAUGACCAGCCACACUGGAACUGAGACACGGUCCAGACUCCUACGGGAGGCAGCAGUGGGGAAUAUUGCACAAUGGGCGCAAGCCUGAUGCAGCCAUGCCGCGUGUGUGAAGAAGGCCUUCGGGUUGUAAAGCACUUUCAGCGGGGAGGAAGGUGGUGAGCUUAAUACGUUCAUCAAUUGACGUUACUCGCAGAAGAAGCACCGGCUAACUCCGUG
rnacentral:rRNA from 1 species